GGGGUAAGGGAGGAGUGAGCCUGGGUGCUGUGGGGGGAGGGGGUUGUUCAAGGGAUGGGGACGAUCAGGGUCUCUGGGAAGUGCUGACGUGUGCGCGUGUGCGGUGUGUUGCUUGUGGGUGCGUGUGUGGUGUGUGCAUGUGUGUGCGCGCGCGUGUGUGCGGGGUGUGCCGUGAGCGUGUGCCCGCGGUUCGGGGGAUGAGUAGGGGCGCUGACUUUUAGGACCAGCCAUUUGAGUCAAGCUGGAGACGACGUCUUAGAACCUAGGAUGAGUCUCGUUUGGUUUUAGUCUGCAAAGCUCGUCUGCAUCAGACAGGAAUUUUCCCCAGACGCGGGUGCACGUGAAUUAAUUCAUCAGAAGGCGGUUCACGGCCUGAGUGAGGGGGACGAGGGCGGCGAAUUCCUCCGCCUCAUUCCUACCCUGACGAUUCGAGGUGCCGCUCCGAGUGCUCUACACAGAUUUUCAUUCAGUCCUUGCGGCACACGAAGGGAUGGCCUCUGCACUUCAGCUGGUUUCUGACACCUAAAAACAGAAGUGGAAAAGGGAGCAGACGCAGCCACAUUUUGAAAGCUGAUUCGGUUGCUUUCUGGCAGAAUCCCUGCCCCCAAGCACCUGCCAGGCCCACCCAUGAAGCCUCUUCCCACGCCUUAACUCUGCCCCAUGAGGGGACCUCAAGCAGUUGCAGUCUAGUCAGGUGAUUUGCAGAGCUCAGGGCUCAGGGAGGGGCACCCACCUCAGAAAAAAGCGCCGUGCUCAUGAGAAAUGACUUCUACAGGUUGUUGGGGAAAGAGGAGUUAUUUUAAAGAUCACAGAGCCCGUGAUGUGCCAGGCGCACCCACACAGGGCAUAUAGUCCCCGCAGCUGCCUCUGUGCUGGGGCCACGUCACCGUCCUGUCCUAAAGACAAGCAAUGUGAAGCCCAGAGAUGGUAUCUUAAAACAAUCGUGUGGUUUUUUUCUGAUUACAACAGCAAUUGUGUUAAUCCAACAAUAUUUUUCCUAUCAACUGUAAACCUUAUUUUAAUAUUUACAUAUUUAUUAGCAUUUAAAAUUCAAUCUCCUAGAAUAUUGACUUCAAUUAGUUUGGCUGAUUCUAAUUUUUUUUUUCUAAUUUGUUUAUCACUUAACUUUUUAAGUACUUUUUUUUUUUAGACAGAGUCUUGCUCUGUCACCCAGGCUGGAGUGCAGUGGUGCAAUCUCGGCUCACUGCAACCUCUGCCUCCUGGGCUCAAGCGAUUCUCCUGCCUCAACCUCCCGAGUAGCUGGGACUACAGGCUCACACCACCAUGCCCAGCUAAUUUUUAUAUUUUUAGUAGAGAUGGGGUUUCACCAUGUUGUCCAGGCUGGUCUCGAACUCCUGACCUCAAGUGAUCCCCCACCUCAGCCUCCCAAAGUGCUGGGAUUACAGGUGUGAGCCACCGUGCCUGGCCUGUUUUUAGUACUUUUAUCCUUUAUCUUUUUAACUACGUAAGUACUCAACAUUUUAAAUUAUUAAUCUUCACCAUGUUAUUUCCAAGAACAAUCACGAUUGAUCUUUCAGUUACACAGCCACGGUGUGUGCCUCUCUGUGUAACUCUGCACAGCUGGUGAUUUACUGAAAGAACUUACUCUCAUAAAACCACAGCCAGCGAGUUCUCAGAGACACAAUAAUGCACCUUAAUUAUGAGUUUAAAAGCUCUUGUCUUGUGAAAUGUAAUCGAUCCACAGAAAAAUCAUAAAGUAUACAUGUAAUAGCUUAAUGACUUAUAAAUGAAGAUCUGUAUACUUCCCACUCGAAAAACGGAAUAUUGCAGGAUUUGAGUACACAACCCGUACCUUUCCAACGACAGCCUCCCUCCCACCAGAGCUUCUGCUGAGUUCACUUGAAAUCACUUCCUUGCAUUUAUUUAUACUUUUAUUACCUUGAGGUGCAUCCCUAACCAUUCUAGUUCGAUUUUGCCUGGUGUUUGAACUUUAUAUUAAUGGAAUCAUAGGACAUAAUUCUUAUAUCUCUGGUUUCUUUCAUUCAACUUUGUGUCUGCGAAAUGUAUCCAUGUUGCAUGCAACGGGGGCUCAUUCAUCGCUGGUUACUGAUUCACUGCAUGAGUAUGACACAGUUUAUUAACCAUUUCACUGCUGAUGAACAUUUGAUCAUUUCUAGUUUGGGAAUAUUAUUAAUAAUUUUUGAACCUUCUUAUUUGUGUGCCCUGAUGUACAUGGACAUGCAUUUUAGGGGUGUAUACUUAGGGAAAUUGCCGGUUCAUGAGUAACACCUAUCUUCAGGUAUUACUUUUUGUGCCCUUUUAUGCUGAACUACAAUUUACGUGCAAUACCAAUCAUUCAUAUUAAGUGUACAACUCAGUGAGUUUAGACAACUGGACACCUUGUUGUGAGUCACCACCACCGAGAUGAUCCAGCACUGUCCCAACUCCCCCCAAGUUCUCCUUUGCAGGCACCCUCUCCCUCCAUUCUGGGCACAGGCAACCAUGAACCACUAUCUGUCACCGUAGCUUUAGUAUAAAAUUUCACAUACAUGGACUCAGGGAGCAUAGAGUCUUUCCUGUCUGGCUUCUUUCCGCUGGCAAAAUGCUUGGAGACUUUUCCACGUUGCUGCAUGAAUCAAUGGAUCAUUUGUUUUCGUGGCUGAGCAGAAUUCCACCAACAUUUGUUUACUCAUCCAUGAAAUGAUGGACAUUUGGUGUUUUUCCAUUGAGAUUGUUAUGAAUAAUGCUGCUAUUGUCAUUCAAGGACAAGUCUUCUGUGAACAUCUGUUUUCACUUCUCUUGGGUACAUCCUUAGAAGUGGUAUUGCUGGACUGUAUCAAAAGUUAAUAUUUAACUUUCAGGAAACUUACAAACUGUUUUCCAGAGUGGCUGUACCAUUUUGCAUUCCCAGACCGAAGUGUGAAAGCUCCAGAUGCCCCACGCCCUCACCAGCCCACGGUGUUGUCAGCCUUAAUAGUGCUGACCAUUCUGCCUGUUAAUAUGAUGAAUUACACUGAUUCAGUUUCAAAUGUCCAACCAAGCUUGCACUCCAGAGAUGAAGCCCACUUGAUCACAUGGAUUAUUCUUUUAAUAUAUGAUGGAUACGACUUGGCUGUUCUUUUGUUGAGGAUUUUUGUGUUUAUGUUAAUGAGGAUAUUAUUUGUAGUUUUCUUUUCUUGUAAUGUUUUUGUCUUUGUUCAGUGUCAGAGUAAUGCCAACUUCAUAAAGUGAGCUGGGAAGUA
rnacentral:lncRNA from 1 species